CGACCGCUGGCGGCAUGCCUAACACAUGCAAGUCGAACGAGACCUUCGGGUCUAGUGGCGCACGGGUGCGUAACGCGUGGGAACCUGCCCUUAGGUUCGGAAUAACUCCCCGAAAGGGGUGCUAAUACCGGAUAAUGUCUUCGGACCAAAGAUUUAUCGCCUUUGGAUGGGCCCGCGUUGGAUUAGCUAGUUGGUAGGGUAAAAGCCUACCAAGGCGACGAUCCAUAGCUGGUCUGAGAGGAUGAUCAGCCACACUGGGACUGAGACACGGCCCAGACUCCUACGGGAGGCAGCAGUGGGGAAUAUUGGACAAUGGGCGAAAGCCUGAUCCAGCAAUGCCGCGUGAGUGAUGAAGGCCUUAGGGUUGUAAAGCUCUUUUACCCGGGAUGAUAAUGACAGUACCGGGAGAAUAAGCUCCGGCUAACUCCGUG
rnacentral:rRNA from 1 species